CGACUCUUAGCGGUGGAUCACUCGGCUCGUGCGUCGAUGAAUGCAGCUAGCUAUGAUAAUUUGAAUUGCAGGACACAUUGAUCACCGACACUUCGAAAGCACUUGUGGCCCUGGGUUCCUCACAUGACUAUGCCUGUCUGAGCGUCACUU
rnacentral:rRNA from 1 species